rfam:Schistosoma mattheei strain Denwood, Zambia genome assembly, scaffold: SMTD_scaffold0006031
AUCCAGUUGACGAGUCUGAAAUAAGACGAAACGCGCGUCAAACUGGAU